ensembl:lncRNA
AACAACAACAACAACAACAACAACAACAACAACAAAAAAACACUCACGAUUUUGUUGUUUGAUGCAGGAAUUGGAAUAUAAGCUACCUGAAACUCCUACCUGGAGCAGUCAGGCAUCUUCAGGCUCAAACAUUUCUCCAUUACAUUGAAGGAGUUCUCCCCUGACAGCUUUAUGAUUGCUGUGGACCACACCACUGGGAAAGAUGUUGUCACAAAUUGUGGGGAUGCCCUUCUAAUGAUGUUUGUGACCUACUCCUGCCUCAACAUAAGCUAUCCAGUGGAACAUGGUGCAACUCUGGAGAUCAUGCAGAGGUGCCUUUUCAAGAUAAAUCUGGACAGGGGGACCAAGGUG